UCGUAACAAUACGGGGGGGCUGUCGCUGACCCUUUUUAAAAGGGGGGUCGUGCACGCCCCUUUACCCAUCUUAACACAUCCCUUGUGCAUCACCGCGUGGGCAUUUUAAUCGAUGCCUGCGUUUUUCAUACAAACUCGAUUCAAAAGUAUUAGAAUGGUUCAUUAUAAUGAUAAUAAUA
rnacentral:misc_RNA from 1 species